rnacentral:rRNA from 1 species
UACGGGGGGGGCAAGCGUUGUUCGGAAUUACUGGGCGUAAAGGGCUCGUAGGCGGCCAACUAAGUCGGAUGUGAAAUCCCCAGGCUUAACCUGGGAACUGCAUCCGAUACUGGAUGGCUUGAAUCCGGGAGAGGGAUGCAGAAUUCCAGGUGUAGCGGUGAAAUGCGUAGAUAUCUGGAGGAACACCGGUGGCGAAGGCGGCAUCCUGGACCGAGAUUGACGCUGAGGCGCGAAAGCGUGGGGAGCAAACAGG